GCCACUGAUCUGGGUAGAUCAUCCUCCAUAUCAACCGGUCCAUCAUCUUUUCUAUGGUGUUUAUUAUCUCGGAGCUUCAUGUGCGAGCUAUUAUUUUGGUAUUUGCUGGACUUGCUUGGGCCGUGAACUCAAAAGACUCAAAACUGGACAAUGUCUCUUUCCCUGUCAGAAGCAACCGCCGAGCCUUUGGAUUUUCAGUAGUUACAGUCGGGACCUCCUAUGUGGCGCUUCAGGCGCCACUAGGGGAACGAGCACCUGCAGAGGUCCUCAUCGUGGGCCGGUCCAUAUUAAAUUCGUUGGUUAUUAAAAAAAUC
rnacentral:lncRNA from 1 species